GCAUUGGCAGUGUAGUGGUGAGCACAACUGCCUUGCAAGCAGCUGACACGGCUUCGGUUCCUGGGCAAUGCA
rnacentral:tRNA from 1 species